rnacentral:lncRNA from 1 species
AGUCGGGCCCGGAGCCCGGAAGGAGUGCCCCGCGGAGAGUCGAGCUUCCUUCCCCGGGGCUGGGGGUUCCGCGGAGCUCGCUCUGGGCUGUGGCGUUGCUCGCCCGCGAGCUCCUGGGGAGUUCGGGGGAGCUGCUGGGCUGGUGCCUGGAGCGGGGGCCGCCUCCAAGUAUUGUCUUUCGAAUUAAGUUACUGUCGUCUGUGUUGUCAGGCAACAACUGACCUUAAAUAAAAAUGAAAACCAGAAGUAGGCUACACAUGCAAUAGGCUACACAUGCAAUAAUGGAUACUUAAGGAAUGGGAGUGGCUGCUGGUGACUGGAGCAGAGAGGGUGUGGUUUCCCCAUGUUUCGGGGCCGGGGGGAAGGAGUAAAGUCUGUGUUCAGAGCCCAGACGCCAUGUCGGUCAUCACAUCACCGGGAGAACUCGUGGAGCCUGAGGAAAGGCUACGGGGUGCCAGAGUCUGAAGGGGCGGAAGAUUGCAUUCCUAUCACGUUCGCCGUGGCGCACAGGGGCUCCGCUGGGGCCGCCGCUCCCGCAGGAGAAGUGGGCCUGAGACGGUGCGGCGUCGACCAUAGCCGGCCCAGCAGAAGCCGGGGAAGGCCACAAGUGUAACUGGGUCCGAGUACUGUGAAGAAGGCGCCUCCCAUGGAGAAAGCUACCGGGUAGUUUAACAAGGUGGAAAAGCGUUGGCCUGGGGAGGAGGAAAGGAUGCUCAGAAAGUUGCCUCAAAAGGACGCAGAAGUGGAGGUGAAUCUUCUGUUUCAGAGGCAUUUUUUUGUGCCUCUGUGAGAAUGCAUUGCUUCCUGGUUGAUCCAUCUUCAGGUUUUCUCUCCGUCCUAGUCCCUGUUCUGCCACCAUUCUGUGUUUGAAUCUGGUACCUAAAGCCGCAGAUACUUGGUUCAUAGUAGAUGUCCACUCUGCAGUGGCUGAAAACACGGAAGAAAAACCAUCUUUGCCUGGGAAGGACAUUAUUGCUAGUGCCAUUACUGUCAACAGUUGGAACAAGAUAAACGGCAUGCCCAAUCUAGUUGAGGAUUUUGGACACCGGGCCUCCCACUGGGACUCCGCCGAGAAACCAGGUCUGCCAUUGCCACCUCCGCCGGGCCUUGCUGUCUUAGCACAACGGAGUCUCGCUGUCACCCAGGCUGGAGUGCCAUUGGCGUGCUCUCGGCUCACUGCAAACUUCGCCUCCUGAGUUCAAGAGAUUCUCCUGCCUCAGCCUCCCAAGUAGCUGGGAUUACAGCGCGCUCAGGAAUAUAUGUUGAAACACAGAGAAGGAGGAGACUGACUUCGAGGAGAUGCACAGGAAGAUGGCCAUGUGGAGACAGAGGCAGACAUUGGAGUGAUGCUCAGAAGAAAAGGCACUCUAGGAGCCUGCAGAAGCCUCAGAGAGCAACAAAGAUAAAAAGAGGCCUGAACCAGCAGCCUUCAUUACAGGCAAGAGUACUGUGUCCACUGUGGCCUGGACAACUGUCUUCUUCAUGCUCCACCAUUAUUGCACAGAAUCACCACUGUCAUAGCCAGUCAGUCACAGGGCAUCCAGCAGCUGCUGCAGGUUGAGAAGCAGGCCGUUGAGAAGGUGUCAGAGGCCUGCAGCCAAAAGAACCAGAGGCUGAAGCAGGCCAAAGUGGCAGUUCAGGCUGAAAUUGAAUAGUGCCACCUGCAGAGGGAGAAAGAGUUCAAGGCCAAGGAAGCUGUGGCACUGGGACCCCAAGGCAGCUGCAGCACGGAAGUGGAGGAGACCCAGGAUAAAAUGACCAUCCUCCAGACCUACUUUCAGCGGAACAGGGAAGAGGGUGUGGAUAACCUCUUGGCCUUUGCGGCAUCCAGCCAGAAAUUCAUGAAAACUACGGCAUAAAUGGAUAGGAGGAGAAGCGCCUGUUCCAUGGACUGGCAUUUUAGCUGCCCUCAUGAAAUAAGAAACUUUAGCAAGCUCUAGUUAUAUUCUAAUGAGAAGGCAUUUAAUUAUUUCUGUAUGUUGUAUAGUUGGUCCCUUCACUUUAUGGAGAGCAGCAAAUCCAGUUUCUUGUGCAGACAUAGAACUAAAUGUGUCAUCCUUUUACUUCAUGUUUCUUAGGAAUUUAAUGGUUAUGUGCUGUCUGUUUUCCUAUGCCUUUUGGCUCAAGUAACAUAUAGCAAUGUUGACUUUUUCUUUUUUAGAUCUAGUAAAACAACAACAACAAAACAAUCUUUGAAGAAAGGAAGGGAUUAAGUAUUUUUCCUCUAAUACUUUCUUGAAGGUCAAUGAAAAAGUGGUAAAUAGUUAUAUGUAACCUGUGUGAAGCAGCAGCCAGCCUUAAAGGAGUCCAUUCCUUCCAAGGCUUAGAACAGUGACUACUGCUGUAAUUGCUUAGGCUGCUGUUAGUUUCUCUUAAUCAAAAUUACUAUGUGAUAGAAUUCAUGUUAUUACUUGGUGUACUGAAAAUAAUUUAAAAGUAAAGACUCUGUCGUGCAAGAAAGGAAAAAAUGAGAGGCAAAGAAUGUUAAAAUAGAAAAAAUGUUUUUAUGAGAGAGUUAACCUUUUAAUGGCAACUAUAUGUGAAUAAAAUUAAACCAUCACUUAAAAUAUUCAUUAGAAUGAAUAAUAGAAUAACCAAGUUCAUAAUUAGUAAGAUAAAAUAUAUUGUUGUUUUUUCGUUAUUUUUUAAUUCAUAUUAGAAUUUCUGUCAGU